rnacentral:misc_RNA from 2 species
CUCAACCGCAAGGAGGGGGAUGCCUAAGGCAGGGCUAGUGACUGGGGUGAAGUCGUAACAAGGUAGCCGUACCGGAAGGUGUGGCUGGAUCACCUCCUUAAAGGGAGACCUAAUUCGGGUAUGGGACGAAAAAAAAGUAGUCGCUACCAAGAAUCAAUCCCAAAAGGUCGGAGCGAGGCGAAAUUGGCUUUCAAACUAGGUUCUGGGUUCACACAAGACCUGAAUCAGGAACAAGGGCUAUUAGCUCAGGUGGUUAGAGCGCACCCCUGAUAAGGGUGAGGUCCCUGGUUCGAGUCCAGGAUGGCCCACCUGUACAGGUGGCAAAAACAAAGAAGCGAGGAAUCAGCACCUUAUCUUAUUUAUAUAGUAAGAGAGAAUGCUGGCUCUGAGUUCAGAGUCCAGAGGAACCUUGAAAACUGCAUAGAGCUAGGUGAAAAAGCCAAAAAAGAAGACCGCAAGGUCAAGCUAAUAAGGGCUAACGGUG